UCACCGUUAUAUGCUUAAAAUAAGGGGCAGAGUAUAAGUUACUUUCCUUCUGUGUGAUUAUAUGUUGCUUCCUUGGCUGCUCCUAGCUUUUAUUUUCUUUUGGGAAUUCCUAUUUAAAAUUACUCAAAAACUACUAAAAGGUAAAUCGGGCUUACUACUCAAAAAGACCGGUCAGUUAAUAGAUAUUCAAAAAGAAAUUUCAACACUUCGUAAGGAAAUUAAUAGCAUAAGUCCUCAAGAUGCCUUUGUAGCUUACGCUAAGAAAAAUCGUAAGCUAAAUAGUUUACUAGUUUCUGAAAAGGAUCUAAUUAAGUUGCACUCGAAAGCGCAGUCUGCUCUCAUUUCCAAGUUAGUAUUAACGCACAACAUACUAUAUCGUGCCGUUUACCUUUUCCUGAUUUAUUAUUACUAUACUAUCCCUAUUUUUGAAAUUCCCAAAGAUUUGAUGUACCCCUUUCCUCAUGUUUUUGCCUUUCCUGGUUGUAAAAAAGGAGAAAUUUCCAUUGCUUUCUGGCUUUAUAACUGCAUCUCGUUCUUUAAUGGAAUGAGCUUGUUAGCCUCGCCUUCCUUUAUUCCAAUUUUUUA